UACGAAGGGGGCUAGCGUUGUUCGGAAUUACUGGGCGUAAAGGGCGCGUAGGCGGCCCGAUCAGUCAGAAGUGAAAGCCCCGGGCUCAACCUGGGAAUUGCUUUUGAUACUGUCGGGCUUGAGUUUCGGAGAGGAUGGUGGAAUUCCCAGUGUAGAGGUGAAAUUCGUAGAGAUUGGGAAGAACACCAGUGGCGAAGGCGGCCAUCUGGACGAACACUGACGAUGAGGCGCGAAAGAGUGGGGAGCAAACAGG
rnacentral:rRNA from 1 species